CCCGGAGAUGGAUUCUGAGACACGAAUCCAGGCCCUACGGGGCGCAGCAGUUGCGAAAACUUGGCAAUGCGGGAAACCGUGACCAGGGAACUCCAAGUGGCUGUCCUUUUGGGCAGUCUUUUCUUGACUCUAAAACGGUCUUGGAAUAAGGGGUGGGUAAGGACGGUGCCAGCCGCCGCGGUAAUACCGGCGCCUCAAGUGGUCGUCGCUUUUAUUGGGCCUAAAACGUCCGUAGCCGGUUUGGUACAUUCGUGGGUAAAUCAGCUCGCUCAACGAGCUGAAUUCUGCGAGCACGGCCAGACUAGGGACCGGGAGAGGUGUGGGGAACUCUCAGGGUAGGGGUAAAAUCCUGUCAUCCUGAGAGGACCACCUGUUGCGAAGGCACCACACUAGAACGGAUCCGACGGUCAGGGACGAAGCCUAGGGGCACGAACCGGAUUAGAUACCCGGGUAGUCCUAGGUGUAAACGCUGUGGACUUGGUGUUGGGGGCGCUCCGAGCGCUUCCAGUGCCGUAGCGAAGGUGUUGAGUCCACUGCCUGGGGAGUACGGUCGCAAGGCUGAAACUUAAAGGAAUUGGCGGGGGAGCACUGCAACCGGAGGAUUGUGCGGUUUAAUUGGAUUCAACGCCGG
rnacentral:rRNA from 1 species